rnacentral:tRNA from 1 species
GCAUCAAUGGCCGAGUGGUUAUGGCGUUGGAAUCAGGAUCCAAUCUCUUCGGAGUCGUGGGUUCGAAUCCCACUUGAUGUA